rnacentral:rRNA from 1 species
UACGUAGGGUGCGAGCGUUAAUCGGAAUUACUGGGCGUAAAGCGUGCGCAGGCGGUUUUGCAAGCCGGGUGUGAAAUCCCCGGGCUCAACCCGGGAACUGCGUCCGAUACUGGCAGGCUUGAAUCCGGGAGAGGGAUGCGGAAUUCCAGGUGUAGCGGUGAAAUGCGUAGAUAUCUGGAGGAACACCGGUGGCGAAGGCGGCAUCCUGGACCGGUAUUGACGCUGAGGCGCGAAAGCCAGGGGAGCAAACGGG